GCAUAUCAAUAAGCGGAGGAAAAGAAACCAACCGGGAUUGCCUCAGUAACGGCGAAGUGAAGCGGCAAGAGCUCAAAUUUGAAAGCUGGCCCCUUCGGGGUCCGCGUUGUAAUUUGCAGAGGAUGCUUCGGGUGCGGCCCCUGUCUAAGUGCCCUGGAACGGGCCGUCAGAGAGGGUGAGAAUCCCGUCUUGGGCAGGGUGCCCGUGCCCGUGUGAAGCUCCUUCGACGAGUCGAGUUGUUUGGGAAUGCAGCUCUAAAUGGGUGGUAAAUUUCAUCUAAAGCUAAAUACCGGCCGGAGACCGAUAGCGCACAAGUAGAGUGAUCGAAAGAUGAAAAGCACUUUGAAAAGAGAGUUAAACAGCACGUGAAAUUGUUGAAAGGGAAGCGCUUGCGACCAGACUCGGCCCCGGGGUUCAGCCAGCACUCGUGCUGGUGUACUUCCCCGGGGGCGGGCCAGCGUCGGUUUGGGCGGCCGGUCAAAGGCCCCAGGAAUGUAUCGCCCUCCGGGGUUGUCUUAUAGCCUGGGGUGCAAUGCGGCCAGCCCGGACCGAGGAACGCGCUUCGGCACGGACGCUGGCGUAAUGGUCGCAAACGACCCGUCUUGAAACACGGACCAAGGAGUCUAACAUCUACGCGAGUGUUCGGGUGUCAAACCCGUACGCGCAGUGAAAGCGAACGGAGGUGGGAGCCCCCCCCGGGGCGCACCAUCGACCGAUCCUGAUGUCUUCGGAUGGAUUUGAGUAAGAGCGUAGCUGUGGGGACCCGAAAGAUGGUGAACUAUGCCUGAAUAGGGCGAAGCCAGAGGAAACUCUGGUGGAGGCUCGCAGCGGUUCUGACGUGCAAAUCGAUCGUCAAAUUUGGGUAUAGGGGCGAAAGACUAAUCGAAACCCAUUCUGGUAGCUGGGUUCCUGCCGAG
rnacentral:rRNA from 1 species